GGGAGUCAGACUGUACGAGAUAAGUUGGACAGUCAAAAGGGAAAGAGCCCAGACCGCCGGCUAAGGUCCCAAAGUGGGUGUUAAGUGGAAAAGGAUGUGGGAUCUCUAAGACAACCAGGAUGUUGGCUCAGAAGCAGCCAUUCAUUAAAAGAGUGCGUAACAGCUCACUGGUCGAGAGGUCCUGCGCCGAAAAUGUCCGGGGCUGAAACACCACACCGAAGCCGCGGAACCCGUAAGGGUUGGUAGAGGAGCAUUCUUAGGGGAGCGAAGCAUUACCGGAAGGGGAUGUGGACCGCUAAGAAGAGAGAAUGCCGGAAUGAGUAGCGAGAGCAAGGUGGGAAUCCUUGCGGCCGAAUAUCCAAGGUUUCCAGAGUAAAGCUGAUCUGCUCUGGGUAAGUCGGGGCCUAAGGAGAGGCAGAGAUGCGUAUCCGAUGGACAGCAGGUUUAAGAUUCCUGCACCCCUUGUUAUCAGAACUGCGGGGACACGGGAAGGGAAGCAGAGCCGGGAAUGGAAAGCCCGGUGCAAGCGAAGUAGUCGCAGGGUUGGAAAAUCCGCCCUGCAUGAGACGAAGGCGUGAUGCGGAGCGAAAUGAAGUAGUGAAGCUGCGGCCCCUUCCUGUCGAGAAAAGCCGCUAUCGUGUAGCAAGGGCCCGUACCGUAAACCGACACAGGUGGAUGAGGAGAGGAUCCUAAGGCCGGCGGGAGAAGUGUUGUUAAGGAACUCGGCAAAAUGACUCCGUAACUUCGGGAGAAGGAGUGCUGCGCAAGCAGCCGCAGAGAAAUGGCCCAAGCAACUGUUUAGCAAAAACACAGGUCUAUGCGAAACCGAAAGGUGAGGUAUAUGGGCUGACGCCUGCCCGGUGCUGGAAGGUUAAGGGGAGAGGUUAGCGCAAGCGAAGCUUUGAACUUAAGCCCCAGUAAACGGCGGCCGUAACUAUAACGGUCCUAAGGUAGCGAAAUUCCUUGUCGGGUAAGUUCCGACCCGCACGAAAGGCGUAAUGAUUUGGGCACUGUCUCAACAACACACCCGGUGAAAUUGAAAUACCAGUGAAGAUGCUGGUUACCCGCGCCAGGACGGAAAGACCCCAUGGAGCUUUACUCCAGCCUGAUACUGGGAUUCGGUAUUGCAUGUACAGGAUAGGUGGGAGGCUAAGAACUCAUGGCGCCAGCCGUGAGGGAGCCGGUGUUGGGAUACCACCCCUGCAGUACUGGGUUUCUAACCUGCGCCCGUGACCCGGGCGGGGGACAAUGUCAGGCGGGGAGUUUGACUGGGGCGGUCGCCUCCGAAAGGGUAUCGGAGGCGCUCAAAGGU
rnacentral:rRNA from 1 species